GGGGCUAUAGCUCAGUGGUAGAGCGCUUGCCUAGCAAGUAUGAGGCCCUGAGUUCGAUCCUCAGCACCACA
rnacentral:tRNA from 1 species